UCUGACUNGAGUGCAGAAGGGGAGAGUGGAAUUCCAUGUGUAGCGGUGAAAUGCGUAGAUAUAUGGAGGAACACCAGUGGCGAAAGCGGCUCUCUGGUCUGUCACUGACGCUGAGGCUCGAAAGCGUGGGUAGCGAACAGGAUUAGAUACCCUGGUAGUCCACGCCGUAAACGAUGAGUGCUAGGUGUUAGGCCCUUUCCGGGGCUUAGUGCCGGAGCUAACGCAAUAAGCACUCCGCCUGGGGAGUACGACCGCAAGGUUGAAACUCAAAGGAAUUGACGGGGGCCCGCACAAGCGGUGGAGCAUGUGGUUUAAUUCGAAGCAACGCGAAGAACCUUACCAGGUCUUGACAUCCCGAUGCUAUUCUUAGAGAUAGGAAGUUACUUCGGUACAUCGGAGACAGGUGGUGCAUGGUUGUCGUCAGCUCGUGUCGUGAGAUGUUGGGUUAAGUCCCGCAACGAGCGCAACCCUUAUUGUUAGUUGCCAUCAUUAAGUUGGGCACUCUAGCGAGACUGCCGGUAAUAAACCGGAGGAAGGUGGGGAUGACGUCAAAUCAUCAUGCCCCUUAUGACCUGGGCUACACACGUGCUACAAUGGUCGGUACAACGAGUUGCGAGCCGGUGACGGCAAGCUAAUCUCUGAAAGCCGAUCUCAGUUCGGAUUGGAGGCUGCAACUCGCCUCCAUGAAGUCGGAAUCGCUAGUAAUCGCGGAUCAGCACGCCGCGGUGAAUACGUUCCCGGGCCUUGUACACACCGCCCGUCACACCACGAGAGUUUGUAACACCCGAAGUCGGUGAGGUANCCUUUUAGGG
rnacentral:rRNA from 1 species